rnacentral:lncRNA from 1 species
UGAAUGGGCAGGCUAGCUUGGCUAAUAGUAUCUAUGAUUUAGCUACUCUAGAGCCUUCCAAAGGUAUCAGGUGUGCCUUAUCCAUUAGCACAGAGAGGCACAGGGCUGAGCAGGUGAAGGGAGUACACCGCUGUGGUUUGACCUGCUCAAUAUCCCUUCUUCCUGAAACAGAAUCUAUCUUUUCUUCUUGGGGAGCCACCCCUCCACUACUUUUAGCCCUUGGCUUAGGUUCUUCUUUUAAGACUCAGUUCUACCAGGAGGUAACCUCUGGUAAAUUCUCAAAUCCUAGUGCCAGGGUUAGGCAUGCGAUCAAGGCAAUAUAUCCAAGAAGCGGUAUGGGAGGCAAUUUGAGCCAAUGAGAUGCAACUCAAUACCUGGAGCCCCUGGGCCAGAGACUUGGAGUUUGUAUAUCUGCAAUUGUUGGGGUUUUGCCUUCUCUCCAAGAAAGCCUGAGUGAGGAUGAAGACAACAGGAUAAAGCAGAAACGAGAGGGAGAGAUGGAUUCCUCCUGACACCAUUUGAGCUCCUCCUUCUCCAGCUGAGCGUGAGCUAGCCCUGCAUUUUCCCGUUGCGUGGGCUCGUAAAUUCUCUUUGUGCUUGAGUGGGUUUGAGGAGCAUUUCUCAAGGAUGGAUCAUAACUGACUAUUGUGUGUCUCAAGGUUGGCUCCAAACCAGCAGAAGCUGAAUAAAGAACUGUGAACUUGGAAUGACUGUGGGACGCUAGGCUCUUACUGGUCCUAACUGAAGACUUUUUCCCAACAGCGAGCAAUGGGGCUUCUUUUAACCAACUCUAUUUACAACCUUAGAUUCAUUCCGUUCUUUGCAAAGUACUGGAUUUCAACACUUAAUUAGCAAUAACCACAUGAACCUACCCUGGCAAGCCCUUUAACAACUCUGAAUUUUCCCUCUCAGUGAGCUACUACUUAAUUCAGUAAAUUUCUCCCUAUCCUGUAUUCCUGUGGCUAGCAAGUCAAUAGACUCAGCUUUUAUUUUAUUUUGAGUUGGAGUCUCGCUCUGUCAUUCAGGCUAGAGUGCAGUAGCUUCAUUUUGGCUCACUGCAACCUCUGCCUCCCGGGUUCAAGCGAUUCUCUUGCCUCAGCCUCCUGGGUAGCUGGGACUACAGGCAUGUGCCACCAUGCCCAGCUAAUUUCUGCAUUUCUAGUGGAGAUGGGGUUUCACCAUGUUGGCCAGGCUGGUCUUGAACUCCUCACCUCAAGUGAUCCACCGGCCUCGGCCUCCCAAAGUGCUGGGAUUACAGGCAUGAGCCAGUGCUCCUGACCUCAACUUUUAAUUUUUAUCUAUCGAUCUAGUCUAUUAUUACCCGCUACUUACCUACCCAUCCAUCCAUUCAUCCAUCCAUCCAUCUGCCCAUCCUUUUUUUUGUUUAUUAGCUCUGGUCUUUGUUAUAUUUGUUGAUAGGCCCAAGUAAAUUAGUAUGUGUAAAACUCACUUAAAACAGUGCUUAGCACAUGGUAAGCAUAAUAUGUGAUAGCCCUUAUGAUCUAGUAACUCACCAGUAUCUUGUGUGUAUUAGAACAAUGUGUCUCUGUAAUAUUUUAAUUAUAUCUCUAUAAGAGCAUACAUAAAUGACAAUAUAUAAAUCUCAAUAACAGAAUGUUUCUAACCCAAGUUUUAAGUAAUGAUAUGUGUUCAGGAAUACUUCAUCUGGCAUCUAGGGGAAUGGUUGGGAAGAUUUUGAGCUUCUCCAGUGGGAAAAAGGCUGGCAUAUUCAGGUCUAACUUCAGAGUCAAAGUCUUUGAAGUUAAUAAAUAGUUUUUAAUUUUGAAUAAAAUAAAAACUAUUUUUUUUAGUUUGAAGAAAGACUAUUCAUUCUCCAGCUUAUGAACUUUUUUUUUUUUUUUUUGAGACAGAGUCUCGCUCUGUCGUCCAGACUGGAGAAAUGGCGCAAUCUUGGCUCACUAUAACCUCCACCUCCCGGGUUCAAGCAAUUCUCCUGCCUCCACCUUCUGAGUAGCUAGGAUUACAGGCACCCGCCAGCACGUCCAGCUGAUUUUUGUAUUUUUGUAUAAACGGGGUUUCACCAUGUUGGCCAGACUGGUCCUGAACUCCUGACCUCAGGUGAUCCACCCACCUUGGCCUCCCAAAAUGCUGAGAUUACAGGCGUGAGAUACCAUGCCCAGCCGAACUUAAGAACUUUUGAAAAUUAUAACUCUGAGCUUUUUAAGGACACAGGGUUAAAAGGUGGUUUGUUGGCAGAUGGGCAUCAGCAAAGCCUGUUUCGAAAGCUCAGCAUGAGUGCACACAUGCAAUCAGCCUUGGCCUUGCACUGUAAAUUUUUAGCAAAGUACACAAGUAUGGGGUUUUGUUGCCAAGGAAAUGGCUUUGUUUCUCUGAGGAAGGAGACAUUGAGGACACUUCUCUGUAAGUGAUCACCGAGCAAGGCCAUAUUGUUUCCCAGACCUGCUGUUCUGUACAACGUGAAGCUCUUCGGUCCUGUCUGUGCUUCUCUGGCCAGUCUUCAUUACAGUGGCAGCAGGCAAGCCAGGCUUUUGCUGACAUCUACCUUCCCUUUCUACUUGCCUAGGCAAUUGUGGCUUGUGUUUGAACUGAACGAUGAAGAAAGAUCUCAGGCAGUUUUGAGUCAGCCUUCAGGUUCCUCAGAAACUUUAAACACAGGAAUCAAUGAGGUCACUGAGGUCAGGAACUCUAGGCGCCCCUGCCUCAUGCUUGGAGCAUCAACUUCUGGAGGUCAAGGGUAGGACUAUCAGGGACUGCAUGACGAAGAUGAUAGUGGUAAGAGGUGACAGCGUGCUGGCAGUCCUCACAGCCCUCGCUCGCUCUCAGCACCUCCUCUGCCUGGGCUCCCACUUUGGCGGCACUUGAGGAGCCCUUCAGCCCACCGCUGCACUGUGGGAGCCCCUUUCUGGGCUGGCCAAGGCCGAAGCCGGCUCCCUCAGCUUGCAGGGAGGUGUGGAGGGAGAGGCGCGAGCGGGAACCGGGGCUUUGCAGGCGGCGCUUGCGGGCCAGCUGGAGUUCCGGGUGGGCGUGGGCUUGGCGGGCCCUGCACUCCGAGCAGCCGAGUGGCCCUGCCGGCCCCGGGCAAUGAGGGGCUUAGCACCCGGGCCAGCGGCUGCGGAGGGUGUACUGGGUCCCCUAGCAGUGCCGGCCCACCGGCGCUGCGCUCGAUUUCUCGCCAGGCCUUAGCUGCCUUCCCGCCGGGAAGGGCUCGGGACCUGCAGCCCGCUAUGCCUGAGACUCCCACCCACUCCAUGGGCUCCUGUGCGGCUGAGCCUCCCCGACGAGCGCCGCCCCCUGCUCCAGGGCGCCCAGUCCCAUCGACCACCCAAGGGCUGAGGAGUGCGGGUGCACGGUGUGGGACUGGCGGGCAGUUCCACCUGCAGCCCAGGUGCGGGAUCCACUGGGUGAAGCCAGCUGGGCUCCUGAGUCUGGUGGGGACGUGGAGAACCUUUAUGUCUAGCUCAGGGACUGUAAAUACACCAAUCUACACUCUGUAUCUAGCUACUCUGGUGGGGCCUUGGAGAACCUUUAUGUCUAGCUCAGGGAUUGUAAAUGCACGAAUGUGCACUCUCUAUCUAGCUCAAGGUUUGUAAACACACCAAUCAGCACCCUGUGCCUAGCUCAGGGUUUGUGAAUGCACCAAUCAACAGUCUGUAUCUAGCUACUCUAGUGGGGCCUUGGAGAACCUUUAUGUCUAGUUCAGGGACAUACACCAAUCAGCACUCUGUAUCUAGCUCAAGGUUUGUAAACACACCAAUCAGCAACCUAUGUCUAGCUGAGGGUUUGUGAAUGCACCAAUCCACACUCUGUAUCUAGCUACUCUGGUGGGGACUUGGAGAACCUUUGUGUGGACACUCUGUAUCUAGCUAAUCUGGUGGGGACGUGGAGAACCUUUGUGUCUAGCUCAGGGAUUGUAAAUGCACCAAUCAGCGCCCUGUCAAAACAGACCACUGGGCUCUACCAAUCAGCAGGAUGUGGGUGGGGCCAGAUAAGAGAAUAAAAGCGGGCUGCCCCAACCAUCACUGGCAACCCACUCCAGUCCCCUUCUGCACUGUGGAAGCUUUGUUCUUUUGCUCUUUGCAAUAAAUCUUGCUACUGCUCACUCUUUGCGUCCACACUGCCUUUAUGAGCUGUAACACUCACUGCGAAGGUCUGCAGCUUCACUCCUGAAGCCAGCCAGACUACGAACCCACCGGGAGGAACGAACAACUCCAGAUGCGCCACCUUAAGAGCUGUAACACUCACCGCGAAGGUCCCGCAGCUUCACUCCUGAGCCAGCAAGACCACGAACCCACCAGAAGGAAGAAACUCCGAACACAUCUGAACAUCAGAAGGAACAAACUCUGGACACACUGCCUUUAAGAACUGUAAUACUCACCGUGAGGGCCCGCGGCUUCAUUCUUGAAGUCAGUGAGACCAAGAACCCACCAAUUCCAGACACAGUGGGAUCACAGAGAGAGCCAACAGUCCAGGCCAUGACAAGCUGGCACCCAGCUCUGCUUCACAUUUGUCCAACUGGCGUGGCUGUAGCUCCUUCCUGCAAGGCAAUGCUGAAGAAGCUAUGGAAGCAAGAAGGAAGCAUGGAUUCUAAAAACUGACAACAAACCACUUACCCCUAUUGCUCUUCUUCCUAAAGCUAAAGGAUCAAACUGCAUCACGGAAGCUGCACACGAUGACACCCUGUCUGGAAAGUUUUUGCCAGAGGGCAAAAGACUGCAAGCAGAAUAUCCCUUUGCCAUUUCUCAUUCAGGACUGGCCGUUGUCUGAAAGCAAACCUCAAGGACAGGACUUCUGGACUCCGCAGCCACUUCAGGCUGCUGCUCCAUCGCAUGAAUUCCAGCAGGUGGCGCUGCACCCCGCGCGGACCCGGCUUGCCUCUCGGCCCCAGGGAGGUCGGUUGAUGAGCAGUCGGGAAGUGGGUCUGCGCGCACCCCGCUGCAGCUGUGGCAAACGCAAACGAUGACACACAGGCUUGACGAGGGCCUUUGUCAGAAGCAAUGGGGAUCUGGCGUCACCGCACAAUGGAAAACAAAGUGCUUCUGCCUGGCUGGCCAGAAUGCACGUUUGCUCACUAUUGAUGCUGGGGCAUUUACAGGCAGAAUGAGUUCAUGUGAAAUUUCAGGAUCUGCCAUGACUCAGAUUCACUUUCUGUAAACCAGAGUCAACAUUACAUUUCCCUUUACUCUGGGCCAUUCCUUGAAUUUUUAGGUCACCAGUUGUUUUUGUACUAACUGAAGGGAUUUGAGUAUUUCACAAGCACCUUAUUUUUAUUAGCAUUUUUAGGGCAUUACCAAUUUGGGACGGAUCUGUAGUGUGAGAGAUUGUUGUCACUCUUAGCUCCAAACAUAGGUUGACUUUAUAUAUUAUUUACAUGUUCAGAAUUAUACUGUGUAGAAAUUCAAAUGAAACUUGCAAAAUACUUUUCUGGCAGGAAGCCCUGGAGAGGAUCGUUCAUGGAAACAAGGAUGACGACUGGGGUAAGAAAUGCAGGUGACUCGUGAGUGGUCAGGGAGUGGAAGAGAAGACGGCUGGAAGGUUUUAGCAUUCAGAAAAAAAAUGGAGACAACUAGAGUUGAUCUGAAGAUUAUGGCAGAAUUCAAUAUUGGGGGAAAGAAACAAGAUGGGGGUUAGAAAUUAGAAACAGCAGAGCUCCACAGGUUGGAAAGGUUGGAAAGGAUUUGAGCAAGAGAACAAGGAGCCUGCUAAUAGCACCCUGGGUUUACAUCAAGAGAAGCACCUGGAGAGAAUUAACUCGGGAGGAGGUGGGGGCAUGGGAAACCUUUUCAUCUCCAAGAGCGGGCAGGAACAGCAGCUGGCCUGAACUUGAAGGUACACCAGGUAGCUUGCGUGGGCCAGGAGAAGGUGAUUCUCUUCUAUGCCUCUCUCCAACGCCCUGCUUCUGAUGCUGCUCCUCUACCUGUAUUGAGGGGAAGAUACAUCCCUAAGAAGUUCCCUGAACCCCAUUCUUUGUUGUGGCUAACUGGUCCCCUUGGAAUUUUUCUACUAAUUUUCAAUUCCCCCUCUCACCUGGUGAAAUCUUGAAUCUUACUGUUCAAUAAAAGUUCUUCUACCGAAAUUUC